rnacentral:rRNA from 1 species
GUAGGUGGCAAGCGUUGUCCGGAAUUAUUGGGCGUAAAGCGCGCGCAGGUGGUUCUUUAAGUCUGAUGUGAAAGCCCCCGGCUCAACCGGGGAGGGUCAUUGGAAACUGGGGAACUUGAGUGCAGGAGAGGAAAGUGGAAUUCCACGUGUAGCGGUGAAAUGCGUAGAUAUGUGGAGGAACACCAGUGGCGAAGGCGACUUUCUGGCCUGUAACUGACACUGAGGCGCGAAAGCGUGGGGAGCAAACAGGGAUUAGAUACCCUGGUAGUCCACGCCGUAAACGAUGAGUGCUAAGUGUUGGGGGGGUUUCCCGCCCCGUCAGUGCUGCAGCUAACGCAUUAAGCACUCCGCCGUGGGGAGUACGGUCGGCAAGACUG